rnacentral:rRNA from 1 species
GAUGAACGCUGGCGGCGUGCCUAAUACAUGCAAGUCGAGCGGACAGACGCGGAGCUUGCUCCUCUGACGUUAGCGGCGGACGGGUGAGUAACAUGUGGAUACCCUACCUAUAUGACUGAGAUCACUUCGGGAAACCGGCUCUAAUACCGGAUAAUCUAUUGAACCGCAUGGUUCAAUAGUGAAAUACGGUUUUGCUGUCACUUAUCGAUGGAUCUGCGCGUCUUUAUCUAGUUGGUACUGUAACGGCUUACCAAGGCGACGAUGCGUAGCCGACCUGGGCGGGGGUUGGGCCCCUCAGGAGCUGACACACGGUCCAGGCACCGAGGGGAGGCAGAAGUAGGGAAGGGUGCGCAAUGGGCGAAAGCUUGACGGAGCAACGCCGGGUGAGUGAAGAAAGUCUGCGGAUCGUAAAACUCUGUUAUGGGGGAAGAACAAAUGUGCAAGUAACUAUGCACGUCUGGACGGUACCUAAUCAGAAGGCCACGCUAAAUUACUG